GGAAUGGCCUUUCUAUUCUCCUUCUUCACUUUUGUUUUUCUGGAAUGAUGGAGAAGAGUGGUAGCUGGCUGUGAUAGGGCCAGAGAGAUCAGGGAGCAGGGGGCUGACUGUGAUAGAGCCAGAGAUCAGGGAGCAGGGAGCUGGCUGUGAUAGGGCCAGAGAGAUCAGGGAGCAGGGGGCUGACUGUGAUAGGGCCAGAGAGAUCAGGGAGCUGGCUGUGAUAGGGCCAGAGAGAUCAGGGAGCAGGGGGCUGGACAUCUCCAAUGUCCAGAGAAAUCUACCUUUAUUGAUUUGAUAUUGAUAUUGAUUUUCCACAUAAAGAUUCUGA
ensembl:lncRNA